rnacentral:tRNA from 1 species
GGUUUUAUGGUGUAAUGGUUAGCACUCUGGACUUUGAAUCCAGCGAUCCGAGUGCAAGUCUCGGUAAAACCU